AGAGUUUGAUCCUGGCUCAGGAUGAACGCUAGCGAUAGGCUUAACACAUGCAAGUCGAGGGGCAGCAUGGUCUUAGCUUGCUAAGACUGAUGGCGACCGGCGCACGGGUGCGUAACGCGUAUGCAACUUGCCUCACAGAGGGGGAUAACCCGUCGAAAGACGGACUAAUACCGCGUACACUCCAUCUUGGGCAUCCAAGGAGGAGGAAAUGAACUUCGCUGUGAGAUAGGCAUGCGUCCCAUUAGCUAGUUGGUGAGGUAACGGCUCACCAAGGCGACGAUGGGUAGGGGAACUGAGAGGUUGAACCCCCACACUGGUACUGAGACACGGACCAGACUCCUACGGGAGGCAGCAGUGAGGAAUAUUGGUCAAUGGGCGAGAGCCUGAACCAGCCAAGUCGCGUGAAGGAUGACUGUCUUAUGGAUUGUAAACUUCUUUUAUACGGGAAUAACAAGAGUCACGUGUGACUCCCUGCAUGUACCGUAUGAAUAAGCAUAGGCUAACUCCGUGCCAGCAGCCGCGGUAAUACGGAGGAUGCGAGCGUUAUCCGGAUUUAUUGGGUUUAAAGGGUGCGUAGGCGGCCUGUUAAGUCAGCGGUGAAAUCUAGGAGCUUAACUCCUAAAUUGCCAUUGAAACUGGCGGGCUUGAGUGUAGAUGAGGUAGGCGGAAUGCGUGGUGUAGCGGUGGAAUGCAUAGAUAUCACGCAGAACUCCAAUUGCGAAGGCAGCCUACUAAGGUACAACUGACGCUGAAGCACGAAAGCGUGGGUAUCAAACAGGAUUAGAUACCCUGGUAGUCCACGCAGUAAACGAUGAUAACUGGGCGUAUGCGAUAUACAGUAUGCUCCUAAGCGAAAGCGUUAAGUUAUCCACCUGGGGAGUACGCCGGCACGGUGAAACUCAAGGAAUGACGGGGGCCCGCACAGCGAGACAUGUGGUUUAUCGAUGAUACGCGAGGACUUACCGGGAUGAAUGUAGAUGACGCGGUGAAGUCGCUUUCUCGGGACAUCUAUGUAGUGCUGCAUGUGUCGUCAGCUCGUGGCGUGGAGGUUGUCGGCUUAAA
rnacentral:rRNA from 1 species